rnacentral:misc_RNA from 1 species
UUUUUUUUAUAAAGUAACAUUAAAAAAAAAAAAGUUGUUGUUUGCAUACAUAUUUGGAUGGAUGAGACUACGUACUUGAUUCUUACAGAUGAUGUAGCAUGGGUUUGAAGCGGAGGAUAUAGCUUGAAUAUAAUGAGUUACAAAAAGAAAGAGCCAAAAGAGAUACGAGAAUAUAAAGCUCAAAAGAAAAAAGCUAAGGAGCGCAAUGAUUUUCUUGAAGCUGCCAAGAUCUGUAACCAAUUGGGAGAGCUGUAUUCAGAGCAUGGAGAUUAUUACAAUGCAAUUACUGAACAUGAAGAAGAAAUUUAUUUUAGUGAAAUAUCAGGAGAUGCAAUAGGUGUUGCUGUAGGUCAUCGCAAAGUCGGUGAAGCUUAUUGCUCGUUAGAAAUAUUCGAAAAAGCAUUUUUUCACCAACAAAAAUAUUAUGAGAUAGCAAAGUAUAAUAACAACACUCUUGAGCAACAAAGAGCACUAGCAACAUUAGGACGCACAUAUUUUAUACAAACUGAUUGCACGUCAUCACAGGAAGAAACAAAUAGAUGUUUAGAAUCUUCAUUGAAAUUAUUUCUUGAAAGUCUCGAGCUUUGUGAUAAACUGUAUGGAGUUGUUUCUGAGAAAGAAAUGCUUGAAAUCAGGGCUCGUUUAUAUUUAAAUCUUGGGAAUGUUUAUGAUAAAAAAGAAAAUAGUAAAGAUUCACUUAAGUUUGUUAGCAAAGCACUUAUUAUUGCAAGAGAACAAAAACUACCAGAAGACAUUUAUCGCUGUCACUUCAGUCUUGCUGGUCUUUAUUUUAAGAGUAACAAUAUGGAGAAAGCUUUGCAUCAUGUCAAGCAAUCUCUUUCAACUGCUAAAGAUAUACAUAGCAAAGCAUUGGAAUUAGAUGCACUGUUACUUCUAGCUCAGGUUUUCUUACAACUAAGUGAGUUUGAACGAGCAAUUCAGAUAUUUAAGCAAGUUUACUCAUCCAUGUCAAAUAAUAAAGAAGCUUUAAAAGGACUUAAAUUAGCCAUAUUAGGAUUGCAAUUGACUCGAAAGUAUAAUGAGAAAGAAUCUUUAAAAAGGAAUGAUUUGGUUUCUCUUUGUGAAAAGUUAGGUGACUUCUAUGCAAAAUUUUCACCACAACACGCAAUAAAAUACUAUAAAGAACAAUUAGAUUUAUAUUUGGACACUAAAGAUGAAAAAAAUCAUGUAAUGCUUGCAUCUAUUUACAAUUCUUUGGCGUUGACAUAUUACGAAUGUAAGCUUUAUGAUGAUGCAAUGGUAUACUACCAACUUGAAUUGAAAAUGCACAAUAGUAAUGAAUAUAAUGAGAAAUUUGACACCUUGUACAUGAUUUUAAAAAUAUUAAAACUUGGUUGUGCACCUUUUGAAGUCUUGAAAGUAUAUUUAGAUCUAGCAAUUGAUUGUGCAAGAAAAAGUGAAAAACCUAAUUCUGCGAUGAUGGAUGCCUACAAACGUUUUUCUGAUGAUAUUUUAUGUUGCAAAACUCAAGAAGAAUACAACUAUUUAAAAAAAAAGAUUGAGACAUGUAUUGAUGAAGUUGAUGAAGAAUCUGAAAGAUCUAGUGAUUGUGGUGAUGGUCUUUUCUUAAAUGAAGAGGAGAAACUAUUUAUUGAACAUGAGUGUGGAGGUUUAGAAAAUGAGGAAGAACUAGUUGAAAAAAAUUCAAGAAGCACUAAAAGAAAAGCAAAAUCAAAGGUUAACCAUAUUAAUGCUCUUGGUGAAACACCUCUUCAUAUUGCUGCCAUUGCAGGUAACACUGGGCGAGUGACACUUCUUUUACAACAGGGUGCAUCUGUUCAUGCGCGAGAUGCGUCUGGGUGGCAACCUAUUCAUGAGGCAUGCAAUCAUGGGUUUGUUGAUAUUGUUGAACUGUUAAUACUGAAUGGAGCUGAUGUCAAUGAUCCUGGUGGAAAGCAUUGUGGUGGCACGACACCUCUUCAUGAUGCUUCUCAGAAUGGGCAUUUAAAUGUUGUGAAGCUACUUUUAGCACAUGGUGCAUCACCUCAAACUAGAAACACCGAAGGUAAAACUCCACUUGAAGUUGUACGUGAACUUAUAAAAGCAGAUAAAGAAGAAUUUCGUGAGAAUACAAAUGAUAAAGAUCUUUAUAUCAUGCGUAUUAAAGUAGAGGAAUAUUUAUCACAAAUAUCAGAUGUCUCAAUUGAUUGGAAAAAACAUAGAAACAGUGUUAUAGUUAAUGAAACAAAUGAAAGUAAAUACAAGCAAAACAAGACAUUAGAAAAUGAUAAUAUAGCUCCUUAUAAAAAAAGAAAACUAAAGAGUGGACUUCCAUUAGACUUAAUAACACAUGAAUCUCCUUUUGAAGAAGUUAUUGCAGAAAGUAGUUCAACAACAUCUUCCACUGUUAGUUUAAGUGAAGAUAUUUCUGAUUUAGAAUCACUUUAUUCUGAUGCGGAUCCUUUAGAAGAUAUAAGUGAAAACUGUCAUGAACCUGACUCUCCUAUUGUCUCUAAUAUCAUUUACAAGGAACCGACCAAAAUAUUUAAAAAAUCAACUGAAGUACCAGCCAAAAUACUCAAAAAUCAGGAUAACUUACAAAGCUUUAAAAAAAAAACUUCUUUAAAAGCAAAAAGAUAUCGUCAAUCAAAAAUUAGCGUAUUGCAUACUCCAAAAGAAAAUCUUGAUAUUUUUGAUUGCAACAUAAUCAGAAAAAAAAGUGGUCAUCACAAUACAACCAAAGCAAAACAACAUCAUCUUGAUAGUUUUGUCGUGAAGUCUGUAAAUGAUGUUCAUAUAGUAAACAAACAUUUGGAAACUCAACUACCCGAACUACGAAAUGAUUCACUUAACUUUAAGCAAAAUUUAUUUCGAGUUAAGGUUCAUGUGAAUACUACAUGCUUUUUAAUUCCAUGUUCUAAUAAUGUUGAUGAGAAUGUCAGUUGGCUGAUUGAAAAGGUUGAGUCUCGGUAUCGUGCAGCAUGCGGAAUUUACGCACGACUAGCUCUUAAAACUAAAGAUGGUGCUUUAUUAAAUGAAAAUGAUGUCAUAAUGGAUAUUAUAGUAAAUAAUGAAGAAUUGGUUGGUGAAAUACUUCAUCUUGAUUUUCCUCCGUUAAAAGAAAGAUUUUUAUUAGCUUGUGAAGACAAAAAAAUAGCCGUAAAUGAUGAGCUACUUGAAGUAUUAACUAAUGGCGUCUCUUGUCUGAAAUUAAGUGACAUGUUUCUUGAAGACAAUGAUGUGUUUGUAUUAUCUAUUUGUUUACCUUGCAACUUGAAUAUAACAGUACUAGAUAUAUCCAAAACUUUGUUAGGAGAUGAAAACUUCAAAAUCCUUGUUAAUGUGUUGAUCACCUUGCCGAAUCUAUCUUCUCUUGAUAUCUCUAAUGUUAACAUUACAGCAGUUGGUUUAUGUUAUUUUUCUGAGCAUUUAGAUGAAAAAAUAAAAAAAGAGUAUCUAUUGUACAAUAAGAUUCUCGUCUUCAAGUUCUACGAGCUUCCUGCGUUUCCAAUACUAUUGUAUCAAAUGUGCUCCAAACCAUUAGCACAAUGAGUUCCUUAACUUCUUUGGAUAUUGCAUUAGUUAGUCGUCCAAUCUCGGAAUCACAACCAUUCAAGCCGUUUUCGAAGCUUCAUAACAUGUUGUGUUUGCCAAAGCUGACUGAACUAAAAAUAGAAAGUUUAACUGCUACCGAAAUAUGGGACAUAACUACUGUAGCACCAUCUUUAAAAAGUUUAUGUGUUUUUAAUUCUAAUGAUAUGAUUCCUUUUGUCAG